AGUAGUAGGAUGGGGAGAGGGAGGUGGGGGGAGAGAAGCACGUCUCUGGAGGCGUGUGACCAUCCCAUCACCCUCUCUCUCUGUNNGCCUCUCUCUCUGUCUUCUCGUAUAUUCCUCCCCCCCCCCCCACCAUCACGAGGAGGGAGGGAGCUCCGCGCACCAGCGUGUGUGGGGGACGCGUCCUCUUCUCACCCAACAUAUAUAUGGGUCUCGCUUGUGUCUCUCCACUCCCAGCACGGAGGGGGGGGGGAGGGCGAUUCCCAUUUCUAGAUUACUUUUUGCCGCUUGACGCGCGCAGCAGCGGGCCCGCCGCAUGUGAGUGUGAGUGGGUUUUCGUGGUGCGCGCGUGGAGCACGGCCCCAACAACGUGUCGCGAUGGAUGACUUGGCUUCCUAUUUCGUUGAAGAACGCAGCAAAGUGCGAUAAGUGGUAUCAAUUGCAGAACCAUCCAAUUACCGAAUCUUGAACGCAAACGGCGCAUGGGAGAAGCCCUCUUGGGGUCAUCCCCGUGCAUGCCACAUCCUCAGUGUAGAACGAAAAACCACCCUUCUUCUUCUCCCUUCUCUUCCCCUCUCUUUCUCUCUCUUUCUCUCUCUAUCAGCAGCGCUCCCCAGGGGGCGGUGGUGUGUCGGGGGCGGGGAGGGAGAGGGCGUGUGGGAGGGAGGUGGGUAGUAGUAGUAGUGUGUGGCACUCUAAUGGGUUUACCCUAGAGAGCCCUUGGGGUAGGAUGAGGAGGCAGCCGAGCGCUGGUGUUAUUAUACCCCAGCUGCUCGUGCGUAUGCUUGGAUCCGCUCCGGCGUUUGUUGUACCAAGUAGGGGGCGCGCGAGCGCUUCCGAAAAGGGGUUCGCAACCACCAACCCAAAACACACCAACGAGAGAGCGCGUCCUUCAGCGGGCGCCUUUUUGCUGCAAGCGUGUGCUUUUAUUUAUGGAAUAGGCGCGUGGGGAAAGGGACUUUCUGUUCUCCCCCUAUGUGCUACCUUUCCAUUCGUUUUGUUCACAGACCUGAGUGUGGCAGGACUACCCGC
rnacentral:rRNA from 1 species